rnacentral:rRNA from 1 species
GUUUUAACGUUCGGAUCUUAAGAGUGCGAAUGAAGAUAUGGAGAGAAAUGACAGAUCCACAUCGGAAACCUCCCGGGAAAUCCCCGGGCUCAACUGCAGCCCCAGACAACGUAGGAUGGGUGCGAGUGGUAGCGAGUGUUCGCGGGGUUCAAUUGGGGCGUAAAGGAGGCGCUGUCGAUGGCAGUAUAAUGUCGUGUGAAAUCCCGCAGAUCUAACGGUGGAAAUGCGCCCCGAAACUACUGGGUUUAGGGCUGAUAGAGGGAGACCGAACUGGUGGUGUAGGGGUGAAAUCCGUAGAUAUCAGCAGGAACGCAGGUGGGGAAGCCGGUCUCGUGGGCCAAGCCCGACGCUGAGGCCCGGAGGCUAGGGGAGCAAACCGGAUUAGAUACCCGGGUAGUCCUAGCCGUAAACGAUGCCCACUAGGUGUGGGGUAGUCAUUCCUCCGUGCUGUAGCUAACGCGUUAAGUGGGCCGCCUGGGGAGUACGCCCGCAAGGGUGAAACUCAAAGGAAUUGGCGGGACCCCGCACAAGCGGUGGAGCGUGUGGUUUAAUUGGAUGCUAAGCCAAGAACCUUACCAGGGCUUGACAUGCAGGUGGUACCAACCCGAAAGGGAAGGGACCCUUUCCUUUUGGAAAGGGAGCCUGCACAGGUGGUGCACGGCCGUCGUCAGCUCGUGCCGUGAGGUGUUGGGUUAAGUCCCGCAACGAGCGCAACCCCUGCCCUUAGUUGCCAGCGGUUCGGCCGGGCACUCUAAGGGGACCGCCGGCGACGAGCCGGAGGAAGGAGGGGACGACGUCAGGUACUCGUGCCCUUUAUGCCCUGGGCUACACACGCGCUACAAUGGGUGGUACAGUGGGUCGCGACCUCGCGAGAGGGAGCCAAUCCCCAAAACCAUCCUCAGUUCAGAUCGCAGGCUGCAACCCGCCUGCGUGAAGCCGGAAUCGCUAGUAAUCGCGGAUCAGCCAUGCCGCGGUGAAUACGUUCCCGGGGUU